UACGUAGGGUCCGAGCGUUAAUCGGAAUUACUGGGCGUAAAGCGUGCGCAGGUGGUUUGUCGCGUCGGCUGUGAAAGCCCGGAGCUCAACUCCGGGUCUGCAGUCGAUACGGGCAGACUUGAGUGUUGCAGGGGAGACUGGAAUUCCUGGUGUAGCGGUGAAAUGCGCAGAUAUCAGGAGGAACACCGGUGGCGAAGGCGGGUCUCUGGGCAACAACUGACGCUGGAGGAGCGAAAGCGUGGGGAGCGAACAGG
rnacentral:rRNA from 1 species